rnacentral:rRNA from 1 species
GACGAACGCUGGCGGCGUGCUUAACACAUGCAAGUCGAACGGAAAGGCCCUUCGGGGUACUCGAGUGGCGAACGGGUGAGUAACACGUGGGUGAUCUGCCCUGCACUUUGGGAUAAGCCUGGGAAACUGGGUCUAAUACCGAAUAGGACCGCGCGCUUCAUGGUGUGUGGUGGAAAGCUUUUGCGGUGUGGGAUGGGCCCGCGGCCUAUCAGCUUGUUGGUGGGGUAAUGGCCUACCAAGGCGACGACGGGUAGCCGGCCUGAGAGGGUGACCGGCCACACUGGGACUGAGAUACGGCCCAGACUCCUACGGGAGGCAGCAGUGGGGAAUAUUGCACAAUGGGCGCAAGCCUGAUGCAGCGACGCCGCGUGAGGGAUGACGGCCUUCGGGUUGCAAACCUCUUUCACCAGGGACGAAGCGCAAGUGACGGUACCUGGAGAAGAAGCACCGGCCAACUACGUG